GACGAACGCUGGCGGCGUGCUUAAUACAUGCAAGUCGAACGGAAAGGCCCUGCUCUUGCGGCGUGCUCGAGUGGCGAACGGGUGAGUAACACGUGAGUAACCUGCCCUUGUCUUUGUGAUAACACCAGGAAACUCGGGCUAAUACCGGAUAGGAGCUCCUGCUGCAUGGUGGUGGUUGGAAAGUUUCGGCGGUUGGGGCUGGACUCGCGGCUUAUCAGCUUGUUGGUGAGGUAGUGGCUUACCAAGGGUGUGACGGGUAGCCGGCCUGAGAGGGUGAACGGGGACAAGAGGACUACGAGAGGCACCAGACGGGAACGGGAGGCAGUGGGGGGAAGUAUGACGGAGUGGGGGGGAGCGAGUGACAGCGGCCCCGGAUGCGGAAAGACGGGUUUCGAGGUAUAAACCAAUUUGGACUGUGACGAAGCGGGAGUGACGGUAAUUGAUAAAGAAGCACCGGCUAACUACGUG
rnacentral:rRNA from 1 species